GGGUGAGUCGAAUAGCUGGUGCGUUCGCCGGUCUGAAAAGCCGGAGGAAGAGGAUCGAUCCCUCUCUCACCCACCA
rnacentral:tRNA from 1 species